rnacentral:rRNA from 1 species
UGAAACCAGGGGUUAGAUACCCUGUUACACUUUAUUUAAAUUUUGUUUUACCUGGGUAAUAAACAGUUAUUGUCUUGAAACUCAAAGGAUUUGGCGGUAAUUUAGUCUAUUUAGAGGAACCUGUCCUGUAAACGAUAAACCACGAAGUAUCUUACCUUAUUUAGUAGACUAUCAGUUUGUAUACCGUCAUUAUUAGAUAACUUUAAUAAAAAUUAGUUGUUGUAAUAAUUGUUUUAAUAUAUUAGAUCAAGGUGCAGCUAAUAAUAAGGAAGAGAUGGGUUACAAUAAGAUAUAUUUAUACGGAUUGAGAAUUGAAAUAUUUUCAUGAAGGUGAAUUUAAUAGUAAGAAUAGUUUAAUAAGCUUUUCUGAUUUUAGCUCUAGAUUAUGUACAUAUCGCCCCGUCGCACACACCCGAA